rnacentral:rRNA from 1 species
AUUGAACGCUGGCGGCAGGCCUAACACAUGCAAGUCGAACGAGUGGCGGACGGGUGAGUAAUGUCUGGGAAACUGCCUGAUGGAGGGGGAUAACUACUGGAAACGGUAGCUAAUACCGCAUACCAUCGGAUGUGCCCAGAUGGGAUUAGCUAGUAGGUGGGGUAACGGCUAACCUAGGCGACGAUCCAUAGCUGGUCUGAGAGUAUGACCAGCCACACUGGAACUGAGCCACGGUCCAGACUCCUACGGGUGGAAGCAGUGGGGAAUAUUGCACAAUGGGCGCAAUUCUGAUGCAGCCAUGCCGCGUGUAUUAAGAAGGCCUUCGGGUUUUAAAGUACUUUCAGCGGGGAGGCGUUACCCGCAGAAGAAGCACCGGCUAACUCCGUGCCAGCAGCCGCGGUAAUUC